rnacentral:rRNA from 1 species
AACAGAGGGGGCAAGCGUUGCUCGGAAUUACUGGGCGUAAAGGGUGCGUAGGCGGUUGUUUAAGUCUGCCGUGAAAUCCCCGGGCUCAACCUGGGAAUGGCGGUGGAUACUGGGCAGCUAGAGUGUGUCAGAGGAUGGUGGAAUUCCCGGUGUAGCGGUGAAAUGCGUAGAGAUCGGGAGGAACAUCAGUGGCGAAGGCGGCCAUCUGGGACAACACUGACGCUGAAGCACGAAAGCGUGGGGAGCGAACAGG